rnacentral:rRNA from 1 species
GGUAACCGCGUUCCGACAGGCUCGAGAUUACUGAUGGGGCAAGUGUUAUUCGGAGUUAGUGGGUAUAAAGGGGCCGUAUGCCGACCGUUAAGUCAGUGGUGAAAGCCUACAGCUUAACUGUAGAACUGCCGUUGAUACUGUCGGUCUUGAGUGUGGUUGAGGUAGCUGGAAUGAGUAGUGUAGCGGUGAAAUGCAUAGAUAUUACUCAGAACACCAAGUGCGAAGGCAGGUUACCAAGUCACAACUGACGCUGAUGGACGAAAGCGUGGGGAGCGAACAGGAUUAGAUACCCGAGUAGUC